rnacentral:lncRNA from 1 species
CCCAAAUCUCGCUUUAGGCAAACUAAGCUCCUCUCUCUCCCUAAAUAACCGCGCCCUAGGUUCUACAAACUGAAAAUCGCACCCAAAUCGUCUGACCUAAGAAUCGCGAAUUAGGCAGGGCUGGCUGAGAAUCGCGAUUGUGAGAUCCCAAAUCACAAGCCCUAGCUUCUGCGUUCUCUCUUCUCUCCAAACCGGACGGAAGCAGAGCCAAACUCCAAGAUGUUUCUCUUAUCGCUUCUCUACAAAUUAGGUAUGUGUAGUACAGUUCCUCUGUUUAAUGAGUUCUUCUAUGGGUUUUUCUCACCAUGGUCAUUUAUAAUCUUAUUAUCCUCUGUUUUCUUGUUCUUUUGUUUGUGGCCCUAGAUUCCCAAAAAUUAUAUGUGUUUCGGUUUAUUGAAUUGUUUGUAGUCAGGUCCGUAGUAGCCGUUCCAGUCAAGUCCAACCUCACAGUUUGUGCACAUCUGAAAAGCAAGGACACGGACAAGGAGUUUAAAGAAGAUGUAUCCUUUGGUGUUGAACUCCAUGGGAAAUUGGGAAAAACUAAUAAACAGCAUACAAGUGAGGGUCACUUGGAAAUGCUAUUGGUAUGAGUUAUAUAUAUAUAUAUAUAUAUAUAUAUAUAUAUAUAUAUAUAUAUGUUUCUAUUGUAAAUUUGUGACUUUUAAAUAUUUGAACUUUUAUAGAUUCAUUUCUGUUAAAAAUCUCGUUUUGUUUUAAUUUGAACCAGGGAUGUAUUGUGAUAUGCAGUGAAGAUCUCAGAUUGGAGGCACCUUGGAAUUCGAUUUGCUAUUUUAUGUAUUUCCUUUAUUUUAAAUUAGGAUUGUAUUUGUGGAUUGUGGGUGGCAGUUGUUUGAAACUUUGAUUUCUGUCAUGGAUGUGUUGUUUGAAACUUUGUGGAUUGUAUUUGUACUAUGCGGAAGUUGUUUGGAUUUCAUUUUGGUUGUGGAUAUUUGGAUUCACCUGUUUGAAACCGCUGCCAUCCCCUGUGUCUGAGGAUUAAUGUGGCUGAAGUGUUAUCGUGCCUGUUGCACAUCCUAUUUGGGUCUGAUCUAUCAAUUUUUAGCUAGUUUAAUUUACAUGUCAACAUUUUUAAUUUUUAGCAAGUGCAAGCAACUAUCAGUUUCCACAGGUAAGAUGAUCUUUCCUUCCUUGUGUCAUAGCACAGUUCUAAUUUGCAUAAAUUGUUGUAUGAGUAUCACUUGGAAAAAAACUUAACUAUGUAUACUGCUUCCAAUUUGGUGUGGCAGCUUGCAGCUGUUCCUCUUUCUUUAUUGAUACCAUCUGCUAUCAAGAGCUGGUGGAAAAAAUUGAGGAGAUGACAUUGAAGAAUGAAAGACUGAAGAAAAAAGUGGUGUACUCGAUUUUUCUUUUUUCUUUCAUGUUGUGGUUUUUGUUGUUUGUAAUGUAGUUGUAGUUGUGUUGUAAUGAAAUUGUUUAAUGUAAUGAAAUUACAAGUUGUAGUUGCUUUGAAAUGAAACUAUUGUAAUGAAACUUUCCAACUUUGUAAUCUAAUGAAUUGUCAUCUUUGAAAUGAGUUGUAAUGAAAUUGUUUAAUGUAGAGCUAUUUUUGAGCUUGAAACUGCUUGAAGGUGGUGGAUUAGUUUUGCAGAGAUUGAAACUGC